ACUCACAGCCUCUCUGUGUCAAUAGACAGAGUCAGCCCAGAGUUAUGACUUCACAGAAAGAUGAAGCAAAAGCUGGGAGACGAGGCAGGACCAGCUUUAAAAGAAGGCUGUAAGCUCAGACAACAAGUAGCAAAAGAAACACUGACCACUCACAGGCUGGGGAUUCAGAACCUGCGGAUGUGGAGGGCCAGAGGGCUGAAUUUGCAAGUUGGGCAAUGGGGAAAGCCUUCACAAAGGAGAAAGCCUUUGGGCUGGAAUUGGAGGAGUAGGAGUCAAUAGAGAGAGAAGAGAGUAAAGGGCAAGGCCAUCAUUCCAGGUUUAGGGAGCAAGUACAAAGACACAGAGAAAUGAAAAGGCUUGGCCUGUUUGGAGAAUGUCAAGCUGUCUGGGGUUGAGAGAAAGACAUUCUAACAAGGCUUCCAUUAAAGAGGCUAGAUUUGCUGCUUGGACAUUUUCUAGCUCUUCUGAGACAACUUUUUGUUGAGUUAAGCGAAAAUGAAUGAAAAUCAGAUGGACCAUAUUUCUCUUGAAUGCACACGGGCUUAAAAACGAAGGGGAAAAAGAACUUGACAGAAUGUGUCUUGGCUUUUGCCAAACCCAAAGUAUUUGAAAAAUCACACAGUACACAUCUCGAACCCAAAAACAUGCCUGGAUUCUACCACCCCUAACUGCAGCUGCAGCCAUUUAAUAAAAUGAAUUGUGUACAAGAAAA
rnacentral:lncRNA from 1 species